CACAAAAUGUGUGGAAAAGCAUAACCAGCGUCAGAAAAUCACUAAGGCUUUCUUCAUUGACUCGUAUGAGAUGACCAACAUCUGGCAGAAGAAGACAUCAAAACUGAAGUGCAAACCAGAAACAUUUGAUAUUAUGUUGGGGGCAGUUCAUGAACCUGGACACUGGAUAUUUGCAGCUAUUUAUCCAAAACAAAAAAGGAGCAUUGUACUUGAUUCCAGUGGCCAUGCUUCUUCAAAACUUAAGAACUGUUUGGAAUCCACCAGG